UAUAAAACUAAUAAUUUUAGUAAUAGUUUAUUAUGUAUUGUGAAAGAAUUUUGAAAUAAUUGAAAAAUAUAUAAUUUAAAAGAAAAAUUAAUUUUUUGUACCUUGUGUAUCAGGGUUUAUUAAAUAAAAAUUUUUUAAUAAAAUUUUCUCGAAAGGAAAUGAUUUAAUUAAAUAUAAUAGUUAAUGUAAUAAAUUUAUUAUAAAUAUUUAAUUAGAAAUGAAAUGUUAUUCGUAUUUUCUGAUAUCUAGUUUUUUAAGAAAUAAAUUUAAUUUAGCUUUUAAUUAUAUAAUAAUUUAUUUAAUAAAUUUAUUAUUAAUUAAAAGUAAUAUUUAAUGGGAUGAGCUAUUAAAUAAAUUAUUAAAAAUUUUAUUAAUAUAAAGGUAUUUGUAUGCUUAGAAUUAGCAAUCAUUAAAGAUUUUGUUAUAAAUUAUAUAUUUUAAUAUAUUAUUUAUUUUAUUUUAAUUAAUUUAUUAAAAUUUUAAAUUUAAUAUAAAAAUUUAAUUAAUAAUGAUAAAAUUAGUAUAAUUUUUUGUAAAUUUAAGUUAAAUUGAUAGGUUUUUAUAAGGAAUUCGGCAAAAUUUAUGUUCGCCUGUUUAACAAAAACAUGUCUUUUUGAGUUUAAUUUAAAGUCUAAUCUGCCCACUGAUAAAUAUUUAAGGGCCGCAGUAUUUUGACUGUGCAAAGGUAGCAUAAUCAUUAGUCUUUUAAUUGAGGGCUUGUAUGAAUGAUUGGACGAGAUAUAAGCUGUCUCAUAAAAAUUUAAAUAGAAUUUUAUUUUUUAGUUAAAAAGCUAAAAUAAUUUUAAAAGACGAGAAGACCCUAUAGAUCUUUAUAAUUUAUUUUUAAAUUUUUUUAGGUUAUUUUUUAAGUUUAUAAAUUGAAUUAUUUUGUUGGGGUGACAAUGAAAUUUAAUAAACUUUCAUUAUUUUGAAACAUUAAUUUAUGAUUAAUUGAUCCACUAUUAGUGAUUAAAAAUUUAAGUUACCUUAGGGAUAACAGCGUAAUUAUUUUGGAGAGUUCUUAUCGAUAAAAUAGUUUGCGACCUCGAUGUUGGAUUAAGAUUAAUUCUGGGUGUAGCAGUUCAGUUUAUUAAGUCUGUUCGACUUUUAAUUUCUUACAUGAUCUGAGUUCAAACCGGCGUGAGCCAGGUUGGUUUCUAUCUUUAAACAAUUAUAAUACUUUAGUACGAAAGGACCAAGUAUUAGAAAUAUAAAUUUUUAAUAAAUUGAAUAUUAUUAAUUUAAACUAUUUUGGCAGAUUAGUGC
rnacentral:rRNA from 1 species